CCUACGGGGGACUGCAGUGGGGAAUAUUGCACAAUGGGGGAAACCCUGAUGCAGCAACGCCGCGUGAGUGAAGACGUAUUUCGGUAUGUAAAGCUCUAUCAGCCGGGAAGAAGAAAGACGGUACCUGACUAAGUUGCCACGGCUAACUACGUGCCCGCAGCCGCGGUCAUACGUAGGGGGCAAGCGUUAUCCGGAUUUACUGGGUGUAAAGGGAGCGUAGACGGUUGUGCAAGUCUGAAGUGAAAGCCCGUGGCUCAACCGCGGAAGUGCUUUGGAAACUGGAGAGCUUGAGUACUAGAGAGGCAGGCGGAAUUCCUAGUGUAGCGGUGAAAUGCGUAGAUAUUAGGAAGAACACCAGUGGCGAAGGCAGCCUGCUGGACAGAAACUGACGUUGAGGCUCGAAAGCGUGGGGAGCAAACAGGAUUAGAUACCCCAGUAGUC
rnacentral:rRNA from 1 species